rnacentral:tRNA from 3 species
GGCCCAUUAGCUCAGUUGGUUAGAGCGUGGUGCUAAUAACGCCAAGGUCCCAGGUUCGAGACCUGCAUGGGCCA